GGUCUCUAUAAAUCAGUAGAUCGAUCAGUUUGCACAUUCAAAGAAAAUGAUGAACAAUUACAAGUUUUGUAAGACCUUUGUCUUGAUCACAUUGGUAGCGUUUUUUAGCCUUGCUACUUGGACGCAUGCCAUAAGGAUAUUAUCAAAUGAUGGUAACCGAGGCGGUGGCUAUGGUUUGGGUUAUGUAAAUGACAGGUACUAUAUAGUAGGUUAUUGGUUAGAACGACUAUCAUCAGGACCUAGUGGAGGUGGCGCUGGACAUUAACUGCAUCACUACUUUGUUUUUAUUUUCAAAUGUGAUCGACGACAAAUAUUUUACACGUGGUGUCACAUGUUGAUCGACACGCGUAAUAAAGAAAGAAAGUUAAAUCUAAAAAAAAAAAAACAAGUGAGGAUUUAACUUUCUUGAUAUGCCAAAAAAAACUGACAAAACCCGGUUAUCGUGAAAUUAGCACAAAGGAAGGUGGUAGAACUUUUGAAACAAAACAACAUCUCAAAAGUCAAAUCAGCACAAUACACCUUUCCGAAGCUGGUGAAAUUACUCUAUCGCCCUUACUUUUUUUUUUUUGGUCGGGUGAGAUGAGGGACAUUGGAUUGAAUUGAUCGAAGGGUGGAGGUUAGUUCUCAAUUCUCAUUAUAUGUAAUGGUUCCCACCAGAUCCCACUUCUAUCAUAUUUUGUAAAAAAAAAAUUAAAA